rnacentral:rRNA from 1 species
UACGUAGGGGGCAAGCGUUGUCCGGAUUUAUUGGGCGUAAAGAGCGUGUAGGCGGCUAGGUAGGUGGGUUGUGAAAACUGGAGGCUCAACCUUCAGACGUCGACCCAAACCCCCUGGCUAGAGUCCGGAAGAGGAGAGUGGGAUUCCUGGUGUAGCGGUGAAAUGCGCAGAUAUCAGGAAGAACACCCGUGGCGAAAGCGGCUCUCUGGAACGGUACUGACGCUGAGACGCGAAAGCGUGGGGAGCGAACAGG